GAGUCCUUAAAAGGGUUAAUAAAAAUUUAGCCAAAUCAUUUUCCAAUGAAGAAUGGGAGCUUUUGCAUGAACAUUUCUAUUUUGGUUAUAACUUCUCAAGAGAACAGGCAAUACAAAUCAUCCUAGUUUUGUUCUGACAUGUAACAUGUUUGACCUUGUUGCUUCUUCUCGACUAUUCCAUUUUGACAUUUCAAACUUCUUUCAAAUUAAAUGUUUAAUAAAUGUGACUCACUUCUUUUCCAUUCUGCUUGUCCUAACAGUUAGAUUCUUUAAAUUUUUCUUUCCUUUAAGGACAAAAACUUCAAAAUUCUGAUGUUUGCUAUAGAGAUUCCACUUAAACAUUCUUUAAAUCUAUGGAUCUGAUGUUCAACAGUACCAAAACCUAUCUGAAACUGUCUUCGCAAAAAAGCGUGCUGCUUUGUGUACUCUGUAACAUCUGGUUCCCUGGCUCUCCCAUCUCUUCUCGGUGCCUGUGUCUACACUACUAAACUGAACAGGGAAUGGGCCUGAGCUCUGCCAUGUAAUCAAUCCAUACUCUCACACUGCUGUGGUCUAUGGCAUGGUUUUGGCUCCAGCUUAUUAGUGCUCCCUCAGACAUUGCCUGAGCAUGUUUCCAGUUUAGCACCUCCCAGGACUGUGAGCAACAGAAAUUUUGGAUUUGAACCCUCUCUUUUAUGGGAAUAAGGAAGGCCAGCAGUAAGGACAUGGACUGCGUCAUGACCAAGAACGUGCCUGACCUAUUUUAUUUGUGCAGAUAGAGCAAACGAGAAGAGAGGGAAGACCUACUCUUGGAAAUGAUUUGUAGAAGAAUAAGGUUCACUUGAUUAAAAAUGUACUUCUGUUACAAGACUCACAAAUAUUUCAUUAACAGCAGUCUAAUUUUUUAUAGGAUGAAAGUGAAGAGCACCACAGCAGCUUCUGCUCUCAUGCCACAUUCCCUCGCUGGGGCCUGAAAAAAAUGAAGAAUAUUCAAGCUACUUGUUAGUGGGAUCAGAAGACGUUCAUUCUUCUAGGUGUAGGUGAAACCAAAAAAACAGAAUGGUACAAGGGGUAUGUGUGCUGUUAGAGGUUUGAUUUGCCACAUCAAACAGCACACUGUUUGACACUCUUCGAAUCACAGAAUCACAGAAUCACAGAAUCACAGGUUGGAAGGGACCUCAGGGAUCAUCUAGUCCAACCCUUCUUUGCUUUUUUACUGGCUUCUUGGGAGCUUGUCUACACAUGAAAUUAAUUCAUCAACUCCUCCUGAAUAUUCCUGUUUUGAAAUAAAGAAGCUAUGAAUGAUCCUGGGAACAGAAGACUUCUCAUCUGAUAGAUUACAUACUUUUGGAAUGGAUGGAAUGAAUGUUGCAAUACAGAAGCGUCCAAGGAACUUCUACAGUGAACAGUAUU